UACGUAGGCAGCAAGCGUUGUUCGGAGUUACUGGGCGUAAAGGGUGUGUAGGCGGUUGCCUAAGUUUGGUGUGAAAUCUCCUGGCUCAACCGGGAGGGUGCGCCGAAAACUGGGUGACUAGAGUGUGGGAUGGGUAAGUGGAAUUCCUGGUGUAGCGGUGGAAUGCGCAGAUAUCAGGAGGAACACCAAUAGCGAAGGCAGCUCGCUGGGACGUUACUGACACUGAGGCGCGAAAGCGUGGGGAGCGAACAGG
rnacentral:rRNA from 1 species